rnacentral:rRNA from 1 species
AUUGAACGCUGGCGGCAGGCCUAACACAUGCAAGUCGAGCGGUAGAGAGGUGCUUGCACCUCUUGAGAGCGGCGGACGGGUGGGUAAUGCCUAGGAAUCUGCCUGGUAGUGGGGGAUAACGUCCGGAAACGGACGCUAAUACCGCAUACGUCCUACGGGAGAAAGCAGGGGACCUUCGGGCCUUGCGCUAUCAGAUGAGCCUAGGUCGGAUUAGCUAGUUGGUGAGGUAAUGGCUCACCAAGGCGACGAUCCGUAACUGGUCUGAGGGGAUGAUCAGUCACACUGGAACUGAGACACGGUCCAGACUCCUACGGGAGGCAGCAGUGGGGAAUAUUGGACAAUGGGCGAAAGCCUGAUCCAGCCAUGCCGCGUGUGUGAAGAAGGUCUUCGGAUUGUAAAGCACUUUAAGUUGGGAGGAAGGGUUGUAGAUUAAUACUCUGCAAUUUUGACGUUACCGACAGAAUAAGCACCGGCUAACUCUGUGCCAGCCGCCGCCGUAACAC